UACGUAGGGUGCAAGCGUUAAUCGGAAUUACUGGGCGUAAAGCGUGCGCAGGCGGUUUUGUAAGUCUGAUGUGAAAUCCCCGGGCUCAACCUGGGAAUUGCAUUGGAGACUGCAAGGCUAGAAUCUGGCAGAGGGGGGUAGAGUUCCACGUGUAGCAGUGAAAUGCGUAGAGAUGUGGAGGAACACCGAUGGCGAAGGCAGCCCCCUGGGUCAAGAUUGACGCUCAUGCACGAAAGCGUGGGGAGCAAACAGG
rnacentral:rRNA from 1 species